UACAGAGGGUGCGAGCGUUUAAUCGGAUUUACUGGGCGUAAAGCGUGCGUAGGCGGCUUUUUAAGUCGGAUGUGAAAUCCCUGAGCUUAACUUAGGAAUUGCAUUCGAUACUGGAAAGCUAGAGUAUGGGAGAGGAUGGUAGAAUUCCAGGUGUAGCGGUGAAAUGCGUAGAGAUCUGGAGGAAUACCGAUGGCGAAGGCAGCCAUCUGGCCUAAUACUGACGCUGAGGUACGAAAGCAUGGGGAGCAAACAGG
rnacentral:rRNA from 1 species